CAGAGAAGAUAGACAUCAUAAACCAUUAGACAUGUAACAACGAAGAAAAAUAGAUAUAGCAAAAAUCAUAUCAAUCUUAUAUCCUACACAAAUAUAUUUAAAAUGUUGUAUAUCGCUCCUUGUUAUUGGAUGUCCAAAGGACAUUUAGAAAACUUAGCAAAAAGAUAAUUACUUAUUUUCAAAAAGUAGAAUUUUUUUGGUGAUUCCCUUAUAUACAUAUAUUAUUUUUGAAAUUAUUUUCCAUUGUAGGUUAUUGCAAGAUAUCGGGGCUUCCCUGGUGGCUCAGCUGGUAAAGAAUCCACCUGCAGUGCAGGAGACCCUGGGAUCGAACCCACAUCUGCUUUGCAGGCGGAUUAUGGUACAUUAGGGGUAAAUGGUCUGGAAGACUGUCACCCUUUCAGAAUUGGGAUACGUAGGAGCUCCCAAUUGUGGACCUCAGGGAGGUUGACUCAUAAGGGGGUCAUCUGAAACCUGGGGUUCCUGUGGGAGGACGCGGUGUGAGCCAGGCAGUUCUCUAGACUCGGAUUUCGGAAUAGGGUCUUGCUUCCCUGAUAGCUGGUAGAGAAUUACCCUGCAAUGCGGGAGACCCCGGUUCAAUUCCUGGGUUGGGAAGAUCCACUGGAGAAGGGAUAGGCUACCCACUCCGGUGUUCUGGCCUGGAGAAUUCCAUAAACUAUAGUCCAUGGGAUUGCAAAGAGUCCAACACGACUGAGUGACUUUCAUUUGAACAUUUAAUGGGACUCCCCUCCCCAUUUGCUUUUUCUUUUAUAAAAUAUGACCAGCUGCAAGAUGGUAUUAUAAUUUAAUGACCUAAUACUUUUUUGCCCUAUCGGUCUAAAUUUUCCCCAGUUCAGUUCAGUUCAGUCGCUCCAACUCUUUGCGACCCCAUGAAUCUCAGCAUGCCAGGCCUCCCUAUCCAUCACCAUCUCCCGGAGUUCACUCAAACACGCCCAUCGAGUCUGUGAUGCCAUCCAGGCAUCUCAUCCUGGGUUGUCCCCUUCUCCUCCUGCCCCCAAUCCCUCCCAGCAUCAGAGUCUUUUCCAAUGAGUCAGCUCUUCGCAUGAGGUGUCCGAAGUACUGGAGCUUCAGCUUUAGCAUCAUUCCUUCCAAAGAAAUCCCAGGGCUGAUCUCCUUCAGAAUGGACUGGUUGGAUCUCCCUGCAGUCCAAGGGACUCUCAAGAGUCUUCUCC
ensembl:lncRNA